CUGCCAAAGUCAAGCCUGUGUGAUUUCCUCUGGGUCUUGGUGCCUGUUUCUAUCUGGCUUCCAAGAGGAAAGAUGAAACCUUUGAUCCUGUCUUUCCUUCUCUUUGCUAUUGCAACAUGUGUCCGUUCCCAGGUUAAACUGCUGCAGACCGGAUCAGCCCAGGUGAAGCCCUCACAGACCCUGAGACUCACCUGCUCAGUGUCCGGAUACUCUCUCACGUCUAGCGGGAAUGCGGUGAGCUGGGUUCGACAGCCCCCGGGGAAAGGCCUGGAGUGGUUAUCCAUUGUGUACUGGGAUGAUGACAAGCGCUACCACGAAUCCCUCAAAAAACGAUUGACCGUCUCCAGGGACACCUCUAAAAGCGAGGUGUAUUUGGAAAUGAGAGGCAUGGAAGCCGGAGACAGCGGCAGCUAUUGCUGCGCCACAAGACGGGGGGGUUGGCUUGAUCCGUACCCAUUCGACUCCUGGGGCCAGGGGACCAUGGUGACCGUCACAUCAGUUAGCCCCACGGCACCGUCUAUCUUCCCCCUGACCUCCUGCACCACCGAAGGCACCACCCCCCAGGUCACCUUCAGCUGCCUGGCCAAAGGAUACUUUCGCGAGCCGGUCACCGUGACAUGGAGCCCAAACGUUGCCUCCCCGGGCGUGAAGACCUAUCCCUCCCUGCUGCAACCUUCCAGCGGCCUCUACACGCUCAGCAUCCAGGUCACCGUCCCAGCCAGCAGCUGGAAAUCUAACACCUAUAGCUGCAACGUACGACACCAACCCAUCAGCUCCAGCAUCUCCAAGGAAAUCCCAAAGCCACUCCCCAUUGAACCUGAGGUGCACGUCCUCCACUCCUCCUGCACCAUCAAGCCAGGUGCCAUCCAGCUGCUGUGCUUCAUCUCCAGCUUUUACCCCAAGACUUUGAUGGUGGAAUGGCUGGUGAACGGCGAGCCCGGGCAACUUUCUGGUGACACCGACCCUCCCAGGAUGGACGUCAAUGGCCACACCUUCAGCACCCGCAACAACGCCAGUAUUUCCCAGGACGAGUGGCUGGAGGGCAAGACGUACACCUGCCAGGUGUAUCACCCGGGCACCAACAGCAAAAAGAAGGGUCAAGCCCAGAAAUGCAAAGAAGAAACAACAUCUCCCAGCAACAUCCAGAUCUUCCUGGUGCCCCCAUCUCCCACCGCCCUGUAUGUGGCCCAGAGCCCCAUGCUCACCUGCGUGGUGGUCAACCUGCCGAGCAACUCCAGCCUCCGGGUGGUCUGGUCCCGGGAGAAGCCAGGGUCCAUUAGCCCUGAUCGCCUGGACGUCAGUGAGCAGUUCAAUGGCACCUUCACCGCCUCCAGCUCCAUGCCCAUCUUCACCCCCGACUGGGAUGCCGGAGAGACCUUCACCUGCAAAGUGGAGCACUUGGUGCUGCCCUCUCCCCUCAUGAAAUCCAUCUCCAAGAAACCAGGCAGGCGCUCUGGCCCAGGCAUCUACCUCCUGCGCCCCCACAAUGAUGAGCUGAGCAGCUCCAAAGACUCUGUCAGCCUCACCUGCCUGGUGCGGGGCUUCUUCCCCGAGGACAUCUCGGUGCAGUGGAUGAAGAACCACAAACCUGACGAGAGCAUGGAAUACAUCACCACCCAGCCCGUCAAGGAUGGAGCCGGCGACUCGAACUUCUUCCUCUACAGCAAGCUGAAAGUCAGCAAGGCCAGCUGGAACAGCGGGGACACCUACACCUGCAUGGUCAUCCACGAAGCCCUGCAGAUGAAGUUCACCCAAAGCAGCGUCAGCAAAGUCUCUGAGGUGAUCGUGUCAGGUGAGUUUUGCAGUGAGGAUGGAGACAAGGAGAUAGACGGCCUCUGGUCCACCAUCUCGGUCUUCAUCACCCUCUUCCUCUUGAGCGUGUGCUACAGUGCCACCAUGACCCUGUUCAAGGUGAAGUGGCUAUUCUCUGCCAUGGUGCAGCUGAGGCAGGCAAGUGGCCCCGAGUACAAGAACGUGAUCCAGCGCGUGGUCUAGGGGCCCACUGUCCCCAUCCGCCCGGAAACAAGGGGCCGGGACUCCCGGCUCUACUGGUGAUACCACCCUGAGUCCCACAGCUGACCCCCGCUAGCGCUGUACCCUUUUGAGACCCCCCUGGAGGGAGCGAGGAUCUCACCCCACAUGGCCUAAUCCACCCUCAGCCACUGGGGACACUGCCCUGCUGGGAGCUGGGCUGAGACCAGACAACUUGUAUCAUGCAGGGAACCAGCGCCCCUAGCGAGGAAACAACCUGAGUCCCACUUCCCACCCUCCUGAGCCCAACAGCCCCCUGCUCUGGGACUGGAUCAGAGCCAGCACCCCCGAGAGUGGAAAGGUCCCAUGUUCCCUUCCCCACCCCCUGCGCCAGCCAGCCCCCCACCCUGGGGCAGGACCAUAGCCAGAGUUGUGUCUGUCAUGCUGUAUGUUGCAUAUUUAGCUCUUCAUUGGGAUUUUUGUGGGUGGUGUGUGUGUGUGUGUGACUUUUGCUGUGUGCACCGAGUGACAAUAAAUAAAUAAAUAUACAAAU